GGGGGUGUUUUGGAUUCGAUUUUCGGGUGGAGCGCGUGGCUGCCGUUCGAGAGUGAAGCGUCUCUCGUAAAUCCCCGUUUCAACACCAUAAAUGGCAACUUCGAAGAAAUGCCCCUGGCUGCUUAAGUUCAGCCACGUCGGCUCAGCGACACCUGCUAGCUGAAACCGGCGACGACAGCAGGCAUAGUGUGCGGUGCGACUCGCGGGCUGCACACGGUAUCUUCAUCCGGGAGUUGGCCUUGGGCUCAAGCGCGUGCGCUAGCUGAGCUCGGGCGAGAGUGAUAGGGCACUAUGACGGUAGAUGCGGCGCGUGAAGGCCGAAAAGACGCGGGUUCAACUCCCGCCACCUCCACCA
rnacentral:tmRNA from 1 species